rnacentral:rRNA from 1 species
UACGAAGGGUGCAAGCGUUAAUCGGAAUUACUGGGCGUAAAGGGCGCGUAGGCGGCCUCUUAAGUCGAACGUGAAAUCCCCGGGCUCAACCCGGGAACUGCGUCCGAUACUGGGAGGCUUGAAUCCGGGAGAGGGAUGUGGAAUUCCAGGUGUAGCGGUGAAAUGCGUAGAUAUCUGGAGGAACACCGGUGGCGAAGGCGGCAUCCUGGACCGGUAUUGACGCUGAGGCGCGAAAGCUAGGGGAGCAAACGGG